rnacentral:misc_RNA from 1 species
GUGGAGGAGGACGCCGAAGGUGGGGCUAAUGACUGGGGUGAAGUCGUAACAAGGUAGCCGUACCGGAAGGUGCGGCUGGAUCACCUCCUAACAGGGAGACAACAAAAUGUUAAAUAUUAAUUUUGUCACCUUAGGUCGAUCGGUAUCUCACAUUCUUAAUUUAUUAAGAAUUUUAUUUCCUAAGUUUUUUCUAGGUCACACCCAUUAUUUUUCCUGGGCCAUUAGCUCAGGUGGUUAGAGCGCACCCCUGAUAAGGGUGAGGUCCCUGGUUCAAGUCCAGGAUGGCCCAUAUCUCUAUGUUGGGGGUAUAGCUCAGUUGGUAGAGCGCCUGCUUUGCAAGCAGGAUGUCAGCGGUUCGAGUCCGCUUACCUCCACUGAUUACCACCUCUUCCAUAAUUUAGAGAAAGGAAAUUUUUUGAGUCGUGAUCAAAUUCUGAACGAAUCUAGCUUCCUAAUAAACUUAUUAAGAUGCUGGACUCAUUGAAUUAAUUUUCAUUGUUUUCAGAGAACCUUGACAACUGCAUAGAUUUUUUUUAAAGACAAUAAGCAUCUUUAAUGAUGCAGAUUUAUUAUUUGUGCAAAUGCAUUAAAUAACAAUUCUAUUAAGCUGAUGCUUCAAAUUUUUGAAGUUAUUGGUCAAGCUACAAAGGGCUCACGGAGGAUACCUAGGCACACAGA